AGGUGCUUAACUGUGAAAAAAAGGAGCCCCAGGCAUUUUCAUUGUUAUAUAUAUAUAUUUACUCCUAACAAUUUAAUCCUCAUAAUCCUAUAGGGAAGGCAGUCUUAUAUCAUUUUUCAGAUGGAAAACUUGAGACCAGCCUCAAAGCUAGACAAGGGCCAUGGAGGGCCAAGGUCAUGGCAGAGCUCACUUGUCUCCAAAGGGAGCAGUUGUGGACAACUUAAGGUAACAACUGGAUCCAUAAAGAUGGAAGCAAGAAUGACUGAGCAGUCAUCUAGGAGAAAACAAAAGUAUGACGACAGAGACUUCUUGUGAAAAUCAGUGAGUGGCUCUCUGCAGUGGUUACAGAAAUGCCCCAGCAUGGACACCAUCCUGUAAACUGGCUCUGCUGUGCCAGCAGUGAUGGAAAGCACUCAAUUUGCUUUCUCUUGGAAGAGACAGAGUGGCUGUCAGUUUACUGCAAUCUUUUGGACUGCCUGGGAAAUUGAACGUACAACAGGAGAAAGAAGAGGCAGGACACAGAUUCUGGAAUAGAAGUCGAAGACAAAGAGGCUCGUAAACAUCAAGAUUCUGGGCUAAUCUAGCCAUUCACAGUUUUAGAGUCAUGGGCAGUAACACUUAAAAAAUACAUAGUGUUCUAACUACCACAAGGUUUUUCACUCUAGCAACUAAAAAAGCACUGGCCUCAGGAUUUGCAAUAUUAAAAGUCACAGCUCAUCCACCAUCAGAUGCUAACUGACCCUGCUGUUCCACAAGCCAUAACUACAACUUUGAUUGGACAAGAGUCUGGUUUCAGUAACUUUCUCCUGAUUAAGAAGACCACUGACCAUUGACUGGUUCUGCCCAUUUACAGAGAUUACACACUUACCUACCUUUGUAUGUAAAAUGAUCUUUUGAUAUAUAAAGCAUAAUUGUAACACAUUUAAAUGCUAAGUAGCCACCCCAAAGUGAACAUAGGUCAUAUGUUACAUGCAUGUUUGUUCAAUAGGCAUGUGUCAGGACCACCUUCAUGAAUAUUCAUAGCUCCUCCUGUAACCAGUUAAAUAUAUAUGUUUAGCCAACCUCUUUAGCAUAAAGCUCCUACCCCAAGCCCCCUCCUUUGAAGGGCCUGUCUCUGGUCUUGCCUGGAUGGCCACCUUGCAGGCUGUAGCCCUUUGGAAGAAAUAAAGUCUCCUCUCUCCUUUUCA
rnacentral:lncRNA from 1 species